GUGGGGAAUAUUGGACAAUGGGCGCAAGCCUGAUCCAGCCAUGCCGCGUGAGUGAUGAAGGCCCUAGGGUUGUAAAGCUCUUUCACCGAUGAAGAUAAUGACGGUAGUCGGAGAAGAAGCCCCGGCUAACUUCGUGCCAGCAGCCGCGGUAAUACGAAGGGGGCUAGCGUUGUUCGGAAUUACUGGGCGUAAAGCGCACGUAGGCGGAUAUUUAAGUCAGGGGUGAAAUCCCAGAGCUCAACUCUGGAACUGCCUUUGAUACUGGGUAUCUCGAGUAUGGAAGAGGUGAGUGGAAGUCCGAGUGUAGAGGUGAAAUUCGUAGAUAUUCGGAGGAACACCAGUGGCGAAGGCGGCUCACUGGUCCAUUACUGACGCUGAGGUGCGAAAGCGUGGGGAGCAAACAGGAUUAGAUACCCUAGUAGUCC
rnacentral:rRNA from 1 species